rnacentral:tRNA from 1 species
GGAAGAGCGAUGUCCCCGGUGGGGCACCUGGUCUUCAAAACCAGAGAAGCGCCGAUGAGGGGCUUGGUGGGUUCGACUCCUACCUCUUUCGCCA